AACUAAAUUAUUUUGAUUUAACACAUUUAAUUUCAAAGAUUAUAUUAAUUUUUUCAAAAAAUGGAUUUAACAGCUAAUUAAUUAAUUAUUUUGUGAAAAAUAGUUACUAUAAAUGAUAUAAAAAAUAUUUCAGGAAACUCAUAAAAAUGUUUAUAAAUUGAUAAAAUUAAAAAUAUUCUAAAUAUGUAAUCUAAUUUCUCCUGG
rnacentral:lncRNA from 1 species